GUACUGCCGAUGAUUCCCAAAAUAGGACGAAACAGCUGUCCAGUAC
rfam:Trichobilharzia regenti genome assembly, scaffold: TRE_scaffold0069210